CCUACGGGUGGCAGCAGUGGGGAAUAUUGCACAAUGGGGGAAACCCUGAUGCAGCAACGCCGCGUGAGUGAUGACGGCCUUCGGGUUUUAAAGCUCUGUCUUCAGGGACGUUAAUGACGGUACCUGAGGCUGAAGCCACGUCUAACUACGUGCCAGCAGCCGCGGUAAUAAGUAGGUGGCGAGCGUUGUCCGGAUUUACUGGGCGUAAAGGGAGCGUAGGCGGACUUUUAAGUGAGAUGUGAAAUACUCGGGAUCAACUUGAGUGCUGCAUUUCAAACUGGACGGCUAGAGUGCAGUAGCGGAGAAUGGAAUUGAUAGUGGAGCGGUGAAAUGCGUAGAGAUUAGGAAGAACACCAGUGGCGAAGGCGAU
rnacentral:rRNA from 1 species